ACUCUCUCUCCUUUCUCUCACCAGUAUCUGCUGGCACCACCUGGAAGCAGCAGCUCAGACCCUCUCCUGACCUCUGCCACUCACCCAGGUGGUCUCCUCCCAGCAGGUGCAGCCACUAUGUCACCCUGGGCUUCUGUCCACCUGCCAGGACUUGGAGCCAAGCCGGGUCUCCUUGCAAUCCUGUGCGCCCUCCUGUUUCCCGAUGCUGGAAUGAAAUCCUCUGAAGCGUAUUACACACAGUGAUGCACACAGCUGUGAUUUCAUUCAGCAAAUGUGGUCUGACACCUUUACUGCCUGAAAACAUGAUCUGCCUCCUUCUGCGUAAGGUUGCUAGAAAUUGGCUUCUCGUGAUCUUCACCAGGAGACUGAGAAGAUAGACUUUCACCUAAGACUUUGUGUAUCCCUGUCUUUGGGGGCACUGAUAUCUGAUAUCUCUCCCGGUCAAAGGACAGGAGUGGGUGCUGAGGGGCAUAAAGGGUGGACUUCGUUGAAUGCCUUCUGUAUUCCCCUUAGCACUGAUUUUCCUCAUUUCUUUACCCUGCUCUGUGCUCUAGGAGGCUAACGCCCACGGACUACACUAAUGGACAUCUUUGUUGUGAUUUCCACUGAAUGUCGGCCAGUGAGAGUUGAAGUUCAAAGGAAUAAUGACCUCAUCAUUUGACAACAAUUUCCAUUCCUUGGGCACUAGACUUCCAAACCUGUGGAUCCAGGGCCCUGGGAGAAAAGAAACAGAUUCUUCCAGUGGGUUAAUUGGUAUAAAAAGGAAUGGCCACUCCCACCUACACCUCUUGGGUCCCGAGCACAAAUUCUGUCUCUGGGGUAGAGGGCCCUAUAUGUUGGCCCCAGGGGAGGAUACAGCCAACCCAAGGCCACCCGUCAGGAGGGAACCCUGAGCUCACUCUGCUCCCAACUCCCAGCCUCCUCAUGAUGCUUCCACUGACUGCUUCCAAAUAGCAACCAGAGAAUAAGGAAACCCAUCCAUGCGGUCCAUGAGGGUCCACCUCUUAAUGCCCAGAAUGAGGUAACGAAAGAUGGACAGUCCAUCUGGAGGAGCAAAAGGAAGAAAUCAAGCAGAUGGUCACUUAAGUGGGUUAUGUUUUCCACCAAAUAAGUAAAAUAAGCUGGGGAAUAGGGGGCCACUUUGAAUUUGCUUAAUGUUUGUUAACUUUACAAGAAUGUACGUCAGCAUUUGUGAGCAGCUUUGGGUUGUCUCAGACCUGCUGCCCUACCCAGUGGAGCCUGGUCAGGACACUAUGAGGGCCACUCAUGAAGCCAUGGCUAAGGGUCACAGUGGGCACGCAUCUGAAUGAGUUCCUUUGUGGGCAUUCUGCCCCAGGACCCUUCCUGCUAGUGGAAGGGAAAAGGCUAACAAAAAUCACAUAUCUUCUCUGUUUAGUGAGCUAGUUUUAGCAGAAAGUGUCAAGGAAAAUACACGGAGAGCACUCAAAAUCCCAUAACCAGACUUAAAUAAACACUCACAAUGUGCAAAGAG